UUUCACAUUCUUAAUCUCAUAUCUUUACUUUUAUUCUUUUUUAAAAACUCUAUAUAGGUAUGUAUAUUGGAAUACUUUCCACAAUAUUUGUUUCAAUAGUUAUUUAAGUGCAACUCAUUCUCUUUAGAUUUACAGUAUUUUACUAUACUGUCUUUUGAUACAUGUUGUACUGAUACUGUUAGACAUUUUGAAUCUGAGAUCAGUUUCCCAUCUGGGAUUAACAAAGUGUAAAUGUUAUAAAUCUUGCCUAUCACAGUAAUUUCCACUGAGAGUUUACACAGAGCUAUUCUUCAAUUUAAACUAAAGGAUGGGCUUCAGGGUAGUAACCAGCAGAUUGUGUCUGUAGUUCAUUUAAAAAGAUAGUUUUAUUUUUAGAUGAUGACGAUAUAUAAAUUACUUGAUUAAUUAGUCUGAUUGUUUUGUGGACUUCAUUCAGGAAUGUGCAUAUUUAUUUUUCAUUGAUCUAGACCUCCCAGCAGAUCUGGUAGUAAUGAAUUAGUGAUGCUUAAGAUCCAGAGAACAAGCAACAGCUGAUUUAAACAAAUAUUUCUCCAAAUAUGUUCACUGGCCAGCAAACUAUAAAUGUGGGAAUUUAAUUCAGUGUCAAUUCACAGAAAUAUAAAGAAAGAAAGCUGGGACAGGCGAGCACAUUACCAUGAAAUUGAUCAUUACAUUUACAGCGGUACAUGUAAUUUAUGGUAUUUGCUAUCUGUUUGUGUUGCUCUAUGUGGGGGAGACCUCAAGAGAGCUCCACAAAUGGAUAUGCAUAGUGCUAUCCAGUUGCAGAGUAUUUUAUGUCUGAAUUAUUUGUCUGAAUUCUUCUAUUUUUGCAUUGAAAAAAAAUAGGCUAUUGUUCUGUCAUCCAGGGCAAUAUUAAUAGGGAUCGCUGUGCUGGGAGAUGGAAACUUUUUAUAUACAUCUGCUUGAUAAACUGUUCCCAAGCAGGCAAGCAAAGUUAUUUAUAUAGCGCUUUUUACAACUACUGUUUUUACAGGUACAUAUGCCUGGGUCCACCAAGCUGUACAUAUAUGUACCCUCUGGUUAUUUCCUGUUGUGGUUAUUCAAGUUAUUCAUAGAUGCACCAGAUAGAAUUAUGAGAAUUAAAUGCAUAAAAUCGUAGAAAAGCAUCUAGAGUUUUUACUCAGAGGUUUAUUUUAAGUGUUUCUCAGCCAUUACAGCACAUAGGUCCCAUUGGUUUUAUUUGGACCAUUUUAAUUUUGUCAGAGCUAGUGAGCCAAUGAAUCAUGUAAUCUUGUGUGUUCUGCAUAGUGCAGUUCUACGAACAUCAUACGCAUGGAGAGAGAAUUAAACACACAAUAGUGGUUUCGCACAAAUCCAAAUAUGAGCAAAAUGUUUUGGGUGAUGUUUUUACACUUCCUGUCUGUCCGAAUAUAAAUAACAGGGUUCACUUCCUGAUGUUAGGGAGUGUGAAGCUUCGGUGUGUACAGAAGCUUCUAAAAUGAAAAACACCAAUGAAAAUUAAUAUUGGACCCUCCAAUAGGCCCUUGGAUAAAACAUCCACAGAAUCAGAGGAUGAUGCUUAUAUAAAUUGUGAGGGACUGGACUGGCAUCAAAACCCCAAAGAACCCAUAGGGAUUGCUCACAGAUGCCUCUGAGCAGACUGUCCUGUCAGUCCGAAAGAGGAGACCUCCUUUCUCCAACAGAUCUCUGAAGGUCCUUCUGGUUGGCCUCUCUGUCCUUCUGCUCUGUGCUUUAGGAUCAGUCUGUGCUCUAGGGAGUCUAUUCCAAAAAAGUGCUCCCCUUUGACACAUUAAGAGGGCAGUUUGCUAUAGCAGAAGCCAUACUGUUAAUGCAGGAACAAAGUGCUACAGGUGUUUUUUUCUUCACUUGUUAAAGAAACUUAUUGGAUUGGGCUGAACGAUUUGGAGACUGAGGGAAAGUGGAAAUGGGUAAAGGGCGAGCCCCUGAAUAACAUAACGUUCUGGUAUAUGAUGAGAGAUGAACCAGACGAGCCUGAUUACUGGAAGUAUGAGGACUUUUCAGGAGAGAACUGUGCCAGUCUGAGAAAUGGUGGAUGGUUUGAUUCUUGUUGCCGUAAACAACAAACAUAUCUGUGAAAAGUAACAAACUGAAUUCUCCUCAAACGGCACUGUUGUACAUGAGCUUUUGUGCAAAUAAAUAAACAAAUGUCAUCA